GUCCCCCAUGAGGAAGCGUAAGGGACGUCCCCCAUGAGGAAGCGUAAGGGACGUCCCCCAUGAGGAAGCGUAAGGGAUGUCCACCACAAGAGGCGUGGGGAGCGGCGGCAGCACGUUCAUCCACUGUGCUUGCCUUCGUUUAUUUCCCCGAUGCCCUUUUCCCGGACUUCCUAGCUGGAUCUCCGUGAGUGCCAGGGCUGGGUCUGGGAAGGGUUUGGGACCCAGCAUAUCACCCGGCACAGUCCGUGUUUGCUCAAUAUUUGCUGAGAGGAAACCGCAGCCACGUCACCGACUUACAACAGGAGCUUCCUGUAUGGAGCAGAAAUGUGUUGUUGCCCGUGGCUUUGCCGGAGCUCCGAGCAGUGGCGAGAGGAAGUCACAGAACGAGAAUUAAUCCACAGAGGAGCCAAGGAAAACGCGGGGCACCGAGUAGACGGGUGAGGAGUGUGAGCGAUGUGGCCGGCAUGGCCGCCCCACCAGCAGCUGCAUCCUGAGCGCUUCACGGACGUGGCCCUCUUCAUCCACACAACUGCCCCAGGAGCCACUGAAGGAGGCUCCACGAAACCUCGACUCGCGUUGCAGCGCACGUCCGACCACACUCGCCUUUGAUCACUUUUAUCACCCGGGGUCCUGCAGUCAGGGCUUUGAGCCUGCAGUGGUCUGUGGGAAACAAUCUACAAUUCGAAGCUCCACCAAACUCACUCUGAGUCAUGGAAUUUCUGUCACUGACUGCUUUCCUCCAAGGCCCAAACUGGAUGUAUGAACUUUCAAAGAAAACUUCACAUUGAAAAAGUGUGGCCAGGUGCGGUGGCUCACGCCUGUAAUCCCAGCACUUUGGGAGGCCGAGGCAGGUGGAUCACAAUGUCAGGAGUUCGAGACCAGUCUGGCCAAGAUGAUGAAACCCCGUCUCUACUAAAAAUAAAAAAUUAUCCAGGCGUGGUGACAGGCGCCUGCAGUCCCAGCUACUCGGGAGGCUGAGGCAGGAGAAUUCCUUGAACCUGGGAGGCGGAGGUUGCAGUGAGCCGAGAUCGUGCCACUGCAGUCUAGCCUCGGUGACAGAGCGAGACUCCAUCUCAAAAAAAAAAAAAAAAAAAAAAAGGAAAAAGUGAUGUACCCACAGCAUUGCAUUGUAGAAUGAUGUUUACAAAGGAAAAACAAGGCCGGGCGUGGUGGACUGAGCCUGUAGUCCCAGCUACUUGGAAGGCUAAGGUGAGAGGGUGGUUUGAGCUCAGGAGAAGCUUGCAGUGAGCCCAGAUGCACUUCAUCUUGGGCAACAGUGCCAGAUCCUGUGUCAAAAAUAAUGUUUUUUUUUUUGGUGGCUCACACCUGUAGAUGCAGCUACUCAGGAGGCUGAGGUGGGAGGAUCAAAUGAGCUCGGGAGGCCGAGGCUGCAGUGGGCUGUGAUCGCACCACUGCACUGCAGCCUGGGUGACAGAGCAAGAUCCUGUCUCAAAAAAAAAAAAAAAAAAGGAAAAACUAUUGUUUAUGCCAUCGCCACCCAGUAAACCUAGUUACUGAUAUUUUUACUUGCAGUGUAACUUUCUGGCCCCUUCCCAUAACCACGUGUAUUUGGUAAGCUUUUGUUUUCAAAAUAAGCCAAUAAAACUUAAUAAG